GGCUGGUCCGAAGGUCGUAAGUUAUCUCACUUGAGUGUUCACAGUCAGUUACAGAUUGAACUCUUUGUUCUACUACUUUCCCCCCUUCCUCACUACUGCACUUGACUAGUCUAAA
rnacentral:Y_RNA from 1 species